UAAGCUGAAAGGACAGGUCUUAUGAGUUU
rnacentral:piRNA from 1 species